CCUACGGGUGGCAGCAGUGGGGGAUAUUGCACAAUGGGGGGAACCCUGAUGCAGCGACGCCGCGUGGGUGAAGAAGCGCCUCGGCGCGUAAAGCCCUGUCAGCAGGGAAGAAAAUGACGGUACCUGAAGAAGAAGCCCCGGCUAAAUACGGGACAGCAGCCGCGGUAACACGGAGGGGGCCAGCGUUAUCCGGAUUUCCUGGGGUUAAAGGGGGCGUAGACGGCGGUGCAAGCCAGGAGUGAAAGCCCGGGGCCCAACCCCGGGACUGCUCUUGAAACUGCGUGGCUGGAGUGCAGGAGGGGCAGGCGGAAUUCCUGGUGUAGCGGUGAAAUGCGUAGAUAUCAGGAGGAACACCGGUGGCGAAGGCGGCCUGCUGGACUGCAACUGACGUUGAGGCCCGAAAGCGUGGGGAGCAAACAGGAUUAGAUACCCUUGUAGUC
rnacentral:rRNA from 1 species